rnacentral:tRNA from 1 species
CCUGGUGGCUCAGAGGGUAAAGCGUCUGCCUGCAAUGCAGGCGACCUGGGUUGGAUCCCUGGGUCAGGA